rnacentral:rRNA from 1 species
GGGGGGCGGGGGCGGCGUGCCUAGUACAGGCAGGUCGAGCGAACGGACGAGAAGCUUGCUUUUCUGAUGUUAGCGGCGGACGGGUGAGUAACACGUGGAUAACCUACCUAUAAGACUGGGAUAACUUCGGGAAACCGGUGCUAAUACCGGAUACUAUUUUGGACCGCCUGGUUCAAAAGUGAAAGACGGUCUUGCUGUCACGUAUAGAUGGAUCCGCGCUUCAUUAGCUAGUUGGUAAGGUAACGGCUUACCAAGGCAACGAUGCAUAGCCGACCUGAGAGGGGGAUCGGCCCCACUGGAACUGAGACACGGUCCAGACUCCUACGGGAGGCAGCAGUAGGGAAUCUUCCGCAAUGGGCGAAAGCCUGACGGAGCAACGCCGCGUGAGUGAUGAAGGUCUUCGGAUCGUAAAACUCUGUUAUUAGGGAAGAACAUAUGUGUAAGUAACUGUGCACAUCUUGACGGUACCUAAUCAGAAAGCCACGGCUAACUACGUG